rnacentral:lncRNA from 1 species
UCUCAGAUCCGUCGCAGCUGCUCUCCAAAUGUCAGCGCCAGUGCUGGGCAAAGCUUGAAACCCACCAGGCUUCAGGAGGGCCAUUCUCACCCACAUUUUCCCCCGAGCACUCUUAGGAACCUGGCAACAGUCUGAGAAAACAAAUUUAAGUGCUGAAGGCUGUCCCGCUCUUGUGCGUCCCCUGGUGGCCAACAUCGGCACAACACGCACGUGUUCGGAACCCCUCCGCAGUUCCUGCUGAGAACAGUGCUGCCUGAGUGCAGGUUGGAAACUUCACCAACAGCCGGAACCCUCGGGUCCUGGGGAUUGCAAGCCACCGACAUACAGUGAUUCAAACCUUGAUAGGCAGGAGAGAAACAGCUCCAGCAAAGUGGCUUCUAGCCUUGGUGUGUGCCCUUUCUCAAUAAAGAAAUGACUGUGAGAAACAAAUUCAAAAGGGAGACCAUCAACAUUGGAAACCUCCUGAGCAUUGGUGUUGCAGGGCUUCGUGCCUUGACGCAACAGACUGGAGGCUGACUCUGCUCACCCUUGAAACUGCCCAGUCACUGUGGCUUUCGUUCCAAACAGAAAAUACA